rnacentral:lncRNA from 1 species
ACGUCCUCCAGCAUUUGGUUUUGCUGUCCUCUGACAACACCGAGUUGGAGACACUUGAAAAGUCAGAAAAAUAGCAGAUAUCCAAUGCCAAGCAUCAAAUAUUUUGUGCAGGAAGCCAUACAGCUCAAUAAGAAAUUAGCUUCAGUGAAUAAAAGACAAGAGACUGAAAUAAGUAAUCUGAAGGAAGUAAGUACAGUGCACAUUUCUGAAUGGACAAUGAUCCUUGUGGGUCCCUUCCAACUCAGAAUAUUCCGUAAUUCUGUGACUCUUUGGGCCUUCCAACAGCUGCUGAUGUAUUAACAGAAGUAGUGGACAAGCAGCAGAACUGCUUUUCAUUCUAUGACUAAUGGCUAAAUUAUCUUCCACAGACACUUCAGUUAAAACUGGAGCAGCUCUGAGAAUUUUCUGUAACCUGCGAAUUUUUAUUUACCUCUACAGCAUCCUCCUUGUUUCUUGCUAAUUAUUAAUAACCUCUCUUCUUCCUGGGUUGUGUUGCUGUCUCUUCUCCAUCUUUGAGGAAGGUAGUAGCAGUGAUGUUUUCUGUUUAGUCAGAAAUACAACAUGAAGAGCAGUUGCCAUGGAAGCCAGCUUGAACAUGGGAUAAAAUGUGUAACUGAAUCCUUGAAGUGGGAGAGUUUUGUGAUAAGGGAGCUGAGAAAUCAGAUUAUGGUGAUUCUAUUUACAAGGAAGUUGUCACUGAGCUCUUUUCUCCUGCCUCUAUUCAGAAACUCCUCUUUGCCAAGAACAUUUUUGGGUUGCACUCCUGAACAUAGGUAAUAGUGAGAAGAAUAAUGUUCUUUUCCCUUUGAGCUUCUUAAGAGCUGACAAGAGAAAAACAAAAGGAUGCUCAUAAGUCAGAAUUCCACACCACAUCUCUUUUCUUUAUCUCCUUUUCAUUUUAUUUCUCUCCCUUUAAUUUUUUUUCUCCUUUAGAUUCUGUAAUGAUUUUAUAUAGGUAUCAAAUGCAUGAUUAUCUCAACUUCUUGGCCUAAUGUUAAUUCCCAGCUUCCAGAUGAUUGCUUUGAAUUACCAUGGAAUCCUUGCCAAGUUUAUGAAUGUUUUUGAAAACAAAAAGGGACAGGGGAAGAAGAUAAUGGUUACAUGAGGAAAAGGGACUAGGACCAUUUUAUAUUUAGGUUAUAUUGAUAAAAAAAUGGAUGUUUACCUGUUUACCUGUCUUUGUCUGAAAAAUGGGAUUUGAAUGUACAAAAGUUCUUAAAAAUUCUCCCUGAAUCUACUGUUGUUUCUUUGCUUAUUAAGACCAUGUAGCCUCUUAUUGUUAAGGUUCUUUGGAGUAUGA